AGUGAACGCUGGCGGCAGGCCUAAUACAUGCAAGUCGAACGGCAGCACAGCAGAGCUUGCUCUGUGGGUGGCGAGUGGCGGACGGGUGAGGAAUACAUGGGAAUCUGCCCAGUCGUGGGGGAUAACGUAUGGAAACGUACGCUAAUACCGCAUGCGCCCUACGGGGGAAAGCCGGGGACCGCAAGGCCUGGCGCGAUUGGAUGAGCCCAUGUUCGAUUAGCUAGUUGGCGGGGUAAAGGCCCACCAAGGCGACGAUCGAUAGCUGGUCUGAGAGGAUGAUCAGCCACACUGGAACUGAGACACGGUCCAGACUCCUACGGGAGGCAGCAGUAGGGAAUAUUGGACAAUGGGGGCGAACCCUCGAUCCACGCCAUGCCGCGUGAGU
rnacentral:rRNA from 1 species